GAGAUCUCAACGAUUAUAAGAAGACGUAGGAUUCGGUAUUCGCGGAGAAUCAACGAAUUCCUCACGUUCUCUCGUUUCUGGUAUUCCGAGGAAUCAACAGAUCCGAGAAACCCUAGUUUUCCGGUAUUCCGAGGAAUCAACAGAUCUCUAGUUCUAUCCUUAAAGCUUCCGCUACUUCAGUUGGUAUCAGAGCUGCGUCUCUUUGAUUUCUCAAUCGAAGAACGAUUAUGGUGAUCAUGUUGAGUGGUAACUUUUAUCCCUUUGCAGAAGAAAGUUUGUUUGAAGAUGGUUACAGAGAAAUCUAUGGUGAUCCUAUCUACGAUAUCUAUGAAGAUGAUGAUGUCUUAGUU
rnacentral:lncRNA from 1 species